rnacentral:rRNA from 1 species
UGGGGAAUUUCGGACAAUGGGCGAAAGCCUGAUCCAGCAAUGCCGCAUGUGUGAAGAAGGCCUUCGGGUUGUAAAGCACUUUUGUCCGGAAAGAAAUCCUUGGCUCUAAUACAGUCGGGGGAUGACGGUACCGGAAGAAUAAGCACCGGCUAACUACGUGCCAGCAGCCGCGGUAAUACGUAGGGUGCAAGCGUUAAUCGGAAUUACUGGGCGUAAAGCGUGCGCAGGCGGUUUGCUAAGACCGAUGUGAAAUCCCCGGGCUCAACCUGGGAACUGCAUUGGUGACUGGCAGGCUAGAGUAUGGCAGAGGGGGGUAGAAUUCCACGUGUAGCAGUGAAAUGCGUAGAGAUGUGGAGGAAUACCGAUGGCGAAGGCAGCCCCCUGGGCCAAUACUGACGCUCAUGCACGAAAGCGUGGGGAGCAAACAGGAUUAGAUACCCUGGUAGUCCACGCCCUAAACGAUGUCAACUAGUUGUUGGGGAUUCAUUUCCUUAGUAACGUAGCUAACGCGUGAAGUUGACCGCCUGGGGAGUACGGUCGCAAGAUUAAAACUCAAAUGAAUUGACGGGGUCAUAGCUGUUUCCU